rnacentral:tmRNA from 1 species
GGGGUCGUUUGGUUUUGACAGCGUGUGUGUGGAUUUGUAAGCAUGUCGGAGGUUGUGAGACGGUUCCGUUAAAAACUAACUCUCAAUGCCAAUAAAUGGCGAAAAUAACUAUGCAUUCGCAGCGUAACCGUUGCGGAUCCCGAAUCUGGGACAAGGUCUUGGGAAUCGGGUGCGUCUUCCGGAAGCUUUAUCCAACCGGCGUCCGGAAAGAGGUAUCAUCAAAAGGUUAUGGAUAGCAAUUGCAGGCUUCGAUGCAAGCGCGAAUUUUUAGAAGAUAAGCAUUCCGUUGGUCGGUUCUGUUCCGGCAGAGUGACGAAAAGUAAACAGAACUAAGCAUGUAGAAAGCAUUUUUGCAGCAGGUUUGGACGCGGGUUCGAUUCCCGCCGGCUCCACGA